UUAACUUUUACCUUCCAAAUUCCAGUAGUCAACACUCCAGAGCAGAAGGCUCUGUCUCAAUCCAGCGACAGACAUUUUGCUGUAUCUUUAUCUGUUACUCUAUAAUGUAUCUGAGUCUGUAUCUGUAUUGUAUGUGGCAUCAAUCCGCCAAUGUCAACUCUGCCGAUAAAAAGACCUACGCUGAGCUGUACUUCUUCAAAUACGUCGUCGAAAACAAAACACAAAAUACAAAACACAAAAAGAUAGCGUAACGUCAAGUGAGUAAUGACGACUGCAGAGUUGCUUUCGUUUUGGGGCCAUUCUAACGGCAUACGUGUUGUGGCCAUAAAUGGAGUUCUGAGGCGACACCACUGCCCGUUCUGUCCGUUAGACCAAUUCAAUUAAGAAAAGCACAUACUCCCCCACAUGCAUAUUCAAAUAUUCGUGCAUAGUAUAUUCUGUUUGUAAGUCGUACCAUGACAUGGCAGUGCAGGAAUGGCUUAAGGUCACGCGACAAAUUCGUUGAUAUGGCGGCCUAAAAUGUUGGAAUCGAGCGAGCGAGUGACGCAGUCCCAAGGACAAAAGGGGGACCGGAUGUGGCGGAGAGAGGAAAUGCGGCGGGGAAAUGCGGAAACCAGCGAGUGGAAUUCGUAUAGAAAUCAAGCGACUGACCAACUGAAUGACUGUUGUCCAACAUUAUCGUUAUUUCAUUCUUACUGUAUGUGUGCGUUGUCAUUGUUGUGGGGGUUAUUAUUAUUUAUGUAUUACACAUUGUGGUCUUGUGGGGCGAUAGUGGGUGAUUUAUUUGUGUAUGGAGCGCUUUUGUGUUGUAUUAUUGAUCGCAACAACCGCAUACAUUCAUUUACACAUUCCGAUAUACGCACGUAUGUAUGUACAUAGAACUCGAAUAUGGCUUUGGCGCUCAAUUAACUCACCUGUGACUCUUCGUUGUUGUUGUUGCUGUUGCUGUUGUCCUAGACCCUCGUCAAAUAUCCUUGAGAAUUGUGUGUUCUGGGUGCGGGGGUUUUCGCAGUUUAUGGCAGCAAAACAAUAUGACUUUUCGAUUUCCCAGCUUGUUAGCUUAACUAAAUUGGAAAUAUGUGCAGCGGAUCAUCUAUCGAGGACUGAAAACAAC